rnacentral:rRNA from 1 species
ACUAAAAGAGUGCUUCGAAAACUGGAAAACUUGUUGUAAAAGAGGAAAGUGAAACUCCAUGUGUAGCGGUGGAAUGCGUAUAUAUAUGGAAGAACACCAGUGGCGAACGAGGCUUUCUGGUCUGUAACUGACGCUGAGAUUCGAACGUGUGGGUAGCAAACAGGAAUAUAUACCCUGGUACCCCAUGCCGUAAACGAUGAGUGCUAAGUGUUGGAGGGUUUCCGCCCUUCAGUGCUGCAGCUAACGUAUUAACCACUCCGCCUGGGGAGUACGAUCGCAAGAUUGAAACUCAAAAGAAUUGACGGGGCCCCGCACAAGCGGUGGAGCAUGUGGUUUAAUUCUAAGUAACGCAAAGAACCUUACCAGGUCUUGACAUACCAUGAAAAGCUUAAAGAUAACCCUUUCCCUUCACGGACAUGGAUACAGGCGGUGCAUGGUUGUCGUCCCCUCGUGCCAUGAGAUGUUGGGUUAAGUCCCGCAACGAGCGCAACCCUUAUUAUCAGUUGCCGGCUUUCAGUUGGGUACUCUGGUGAGACUGCCGGUGAUAAACCGGAGGAAGGUGGGGACGACGUCAUAUCAUCAUGCCUCUUAUGACCUGUGCUACACCCGUGCUACAAUGGUCGAUACUACG